UACAGAGGUCUCAAGCGUUGUUCGGAUUCAUUGGGCGUAAAGGGUGCGUAGGCGGCGCGGUAAGUCGGGUGUGAAAUCUCGGAGCUUAACUCCGAAACUGCAUUCGAUACUGCCGUGCUUGAGGACUGGAGAGGAGACUGGAAUUUACGGUGUAGCGGUGAAAUUCGUAGAUAUUCGGAAGAACACCAGCGGCGAAGGCGGCUCACUGGACUGGUAUUGACGCUGAGGUGCGAAAGCGUGGGGAGCAAACAGG
rnacentral:rRNA from 1 species